rnacentral:rRNA from 1 species
UUAAUAUUCCUGUACCGUGUAUCCGUAGCCGAAAGGCCCUGACGCUUUGGGGUAUGUCGAGCGGGAUCGUCGUCCCGUCCAAGCGUAUAAUUCCGGGGAGUACCGUAAUGGUGAGAAGCGGAAGAAAGCGUGAUGGAGUAAUUCGACAAAUUCCCGGAGCCCAUGAAAAGGGGGAUACCGUCCGUACCGAGAACCGACACAGGUGCCCCUCGCUGAAGAGGCGAAGGCGUGUCGGAUUUAAUCGUGUUAAGGGAACUCGGCAAAUUGGCCCCGUAACUUUGGGAGAAGGGGUGCCUGCCUGGAGAUCAGGCAGGUCGCAGUGACCAGGGAGCUCUAACUGUCUAAUAACAACAUAGGAGACUGCAACUCGGAAACGACUAGUAUAGUCUCUGAUUCCUGCCCAGUGCGAGUAUCUGAACACCCAGUUCAAUGGGACGAAGGACUCGUAAACGGCGGGGGUAACUAUGACCCUCUUAAGGUAGCGUAGUACCUUGUCGCUUAAUUGGCGACUUGCAUGAAUGGAUUAAUGAGAGCUCUACUGUCCCUAACACGAAUCCGUUGAACCUUUUGUCCUAGUGCAGAGACUAGGGACUCCUAUUGGGAAGUGAAGACCCCGUGGAGCUUUACUGCAGCCUGUCGUUGAAUUACGGUUUUACAUGCGCAGCGUAGAUGGGAGGCGUUAUAUCCGUUUCUUUCGGGGAACGGGGAGCCACCAAUGAGACACCAUCCUUGUUUGGCUGUAAUUCUCACUCGUUUACGAGGACAUCGAUAGGUAGGCAGUUUGGGUGGGGCGCCACACCCUCGAAAAAAUAUCAAGGGUGCCCUAUGGUCAACUCAUGUGAGUCAGAAACUCACAGGAGAGUGUCAAGAGCAUAAGUUGGCCUGACGCGAUUACGCAAAGCAAGUAAUCGCGAGAGGAAACUCGGGUCUAACGAACCAAUGAGCCUUAUUGAUGAGGGCCAUUGACGACAGAAAAGCUACCCCGGGGAUAACAGAGUCGUCGCCGGCAAGAGCACAUAUCGACCCGGCGGCUUGCUACCUCGAUGUCGGUUCUUUCCAUCCUGGCCGUGCAGCAGCGGCCAAGGGUGAGGUUGUUCGCCUAUUAAAGGGGAUCGUGAGCUGGGUUUAGACCGUCGUGAGACAGGUCGGUUACUAUCUAAUAGGAGUGUCAGGAGUCUGAGGGUAAGAAUGAAAUAGUACGAGAGGAACUUUCAUUCGGCGCCUCUAGUCGAUCGGUUGUCCGACAGGGCAGUGCCGAGCAGCCACGCGCCAAGGGAUAAAAGCUGAAAGCAUCUAAGCUUGAAACCCGGCCUAAAAAGAGACUCCGUUACAGGACAUGAGUAAAAGACUCGUUUGAUAGGCUCGGGAUGUACGCACGAAGGCAACGACGUGUUCAGUCCGCGAGUACUAACGUCCAAAUACCCCAG